rnacentral:rRNA from 1 species
GUCCACGCCGUAAACGAUGGGCACUAGGUGCUUUGGGGAGCGACCCCCGGGGUACCGGCGCUAACGCAUGAAGUGCCCCGCCUGGGGAGUACGGCCGCAAGGCUGAAACUCAAAGGAAUUGACGGGGGCCCGCACAAGCGGUGGAGCAUGUGGUUUAAUUCGACGCAACGCGCAGAACCUUACCUAGGCUUGACAUGCACGGGACAGCUGCUGGAAACAGUGGCCUCUCUUCGGAGCCCGUGCACAGGUGCUGCAUGGCUGUCGU